rnacentral:rRNA from 1 species
CCUACGGGAGGCAGCAGUGAGGAAUCUUGGUCAAUGGGCGGGAGCCUGAACCAGCCAAGCCGCGUGAAGGAAGAGUGCGCCAUGCGUCGUAAACUUCUUUUGUCGGGGAACAAAGGGCGCCACGCGUGCCGUUGUGAGUGUACCCGAAGAAACAGCAUCGGCUAACUCCGUGCCAGCAGCCGCGGUAAUACGGAGGAUGCGAGCGUUAUCCGGAUUUAUUGGGUUUAAGGGGUGCGUAUGCGGUCCGGAAGGUCAGCGGUAAAAGCCCGGGGCUCAACCCCGACGAGCCGUUGAAACUGUCGGACUAGAGAAGGCGAGAGGUAGGCGGAAUGCGCGAUGUAGCGGUGAAAUGCAUAGAUAUCGCGAAGAACUCCGAUUGCGAAGGCAGCGUACCGGCGCCGGACUGACGCUGAGGCACGAAAGCGUGGGUAUCGAACAGGAUUAGAUACCCCAGUAGUC